rnacentral:rRNA from 1 species
UGAAUACGAGACGCUAAGGCGUCGAAGUAGUGUAUGUCAUACUUCCAAGAAAAGCUUGCACUGUCAUAAGUAAAAAAUGCCUGUACCAUAACCGACACAGGUGGGUAGGUAGAGUAUACUAAGGGGCGCGAGAUAACUCUCUCUAAGGAACUCGGCAAAAUAACUCCGUAACUUCGGGAGAAGGAGUACCUUAUUCUAUAAGGUUGCAAUAACAAGAUCCAAGCAACUGUUUAUCAAAAACACAGGUCUCCGCUAAGUCGUAAGACGAUGUAUGGGGGCUGACGCCUGCCCAGUGCCAGAAGGUUAAAGAAGUCGGUUAGCAUUAGCGAAGCUGGUAACUGAAGCCCUGGUGAACGGCGGCCGUAACAAUAACGGUCCUAAGGUAGCGAAAUUCCUUGUCGGGUAAGUUCCGACCCGCACGAAAGGCGUAAUGAUUUGGAUACUGUCUCGGAGAGGGGCUCGGUGAAAUAGACUUGUCUGUGAAGAUGCGGACUACCUGCACCAGGACAGAAAGACCCUAUGAAGCUUUACUGUAACUUGAAAUUGAAAUUGGACUUUAUUCGCGCAGUAUAGGUGGGAGGUGUUGAUUAUAAUCUUGCGGGAUUAUUGGAGCCAUCAGUGAGAUACCACUCUUGUAAUGUUAGAUUUCUAACUUUGAAUCAUUAUCUGGUCAAAGGACAGUUUCAGGCGGGCAGUUUGACUGGGGCGGUCGCCUCCCAAACGGUAACGGAGGCGUACAAAGGUUUCCUCUGAACGGGUAGAAAUCGUAUCUAGAGUGUAAAUGCAUAAGGAAGCUUGACUGUGAGACCUACAAGUCGAACAGGGACGAAAGUCGGUCUUAGUGAUCUGACGGUACUGAGUGGAAAGGCCGUCACUCAACGGAUAAAAGUUACUCUAGGAUAACAGGCUGAUCUCCCCCAAGAGUUCACAUCGACGGGGAGGUUUGGCACCUCGAUGUCGGCUCAUCGCAUCCUGGGGCGGUAGUACGUCCCAAGGGUUGGGCUGUUCGCCCAUGAAAGCGGUACGCGAGCUGGGUUCAGAACGUCGUGAGACAGUUCGGUCCAUAUCCGGUGUAGGCGUUAGAAUAUUGAGAGGAGCCUUCUUUAGUACGAGAGGACCGAGAAGGACAUACCUCUGGUGUACCAGUUAUCGUGCCAACGGUAAACGCUGGGUAGCUAUGUAUGGAGUGGAUAACCGCUGAAAGCAUCUAAGUGGGAAGCCUACCUCAAGAUAAGUA